rnacentral:rRNA from 1 species
UAGAGUUUGAUCAUGGCUCAGGAUGAACGCUAGCGGCAGGCCUUACACAUGCAAGUCGAGGGGUAACAGGAGAGAGCUUGCUCUUUCGCUGACGACCGGCGCACGGGUGCGUAACACGUAUGCAACCUACCUCUUACUGGGGGAUAGCCCAGAGAAAUUUGGAUUAACACCCCAUAGUAUCAUUCUUCCGCAUGGUUGAAUGAUUAAAGGUUACGGUAAGAGAUGGGCAUGCGCCCCAUUAGCUAGUUGGUGAGGUAACGGCUCACCAAGGCUACGAUGGGUAGGGGGUCUGAGAGGACUAUCCCCCACACUGGUACUGAGACACGGACCAGACUCCUACGGGAGGCAGCAGUGAGGAAUAUUGCGCAAUGGACGAAAGUCUGACGCAGCCAUGCCGCGUGCAGGAUGACGGCGCUACGCGUUGUAAACUGCUUUUAUAUGCCAAGAAACCUUCGGACGUGUCCGAAGCUGACGGUAGCAUAUGAAUAAGCACCGGCUAACUCCGUGCCAGCAGCCGCGGUAAUACGGAGGGUGCAAGCGUUAUCCGGAUUUAUUGGGUUUAAAGGGUCCGUAGGCGGAUCAUUAAGUCAGUGGUGAAAGCCGGCAGCUCAACUGUCGAACUGCCAUUGAUACUGGUGAUCUUGAAUACUGUUGAA